rnacentral:rRNA from 1 species
AGUGGGGAAUCUUAGACAAUGGGCGCAAGCCUGAUCUAGCCAUGCCGCGUGAGUGAAGAAGGCCUUAGGGUCGUAAGCUCUUUCGCCUGUGAAGAUAAUGACUGUAGCAGGUAAAGAAACCCCGGCUAACUCCGUGCCAGCAGCCGCGGUAAUACGGAGGGGGUUAGCGUUGUUCGGAAUUACUGGGCGUAAAGCGCGCGUAGGCGGACAUUUAAGUCAGAGGUGAAAUCCCAGGGCUCAACCCUGGAACUGCCUUUGAUACUGGGUGUCUUGAGUUCGAGAGAGGUGAGUGGAAUUCCGAGUGUAGAGGUGAAAUUUGUAGAUAUUCGGAGGAACACCAGUGGCGAAGGCGGCUCACUGGCUCGAUACUGACGCUGAGGUGCGAAAGUGUGGGGAGCAAACAGGAUUAGAUACCCUGGUAGUCCACACUGUAAACGAUGAAUGCCAGUCGUCGGGCAGUAUACUGUUCGGUGACACACCUAACAGAUUAAACAUUCCGCCUGGGGAGUACGGUCGCAAGAUUA